rnacentral:lncRNA from 1 species
ACACACUCACCCCCAAUUUACAAAUGGUACAAGGAAGGGGUAUUUAUAGCAUUUCCGCCCCUGUCCGCCAACAUGGCCGUGUUCCUGGCCGUGUUGGGAACAUGGCCGUGCUAAAGGCCGUGUUGGGAACACGGUCUGGGGUAAAUAGCCGUGUUACCUACUGUGGCCGUGUUUCCCGAAGCUUCUAGGCCUUUCGCAUUUUUAUUCAACCAACACGGGCGUGUCCGUGGGCGUGUUUAUCAACACGGGCAGUGUUGUUCAACACGGGCCGUGUUGUGAAGCCUUCCCUUGCUAGCUGCGAGGCGGGGCGUGACAUUCUCCCCCACUCAAUCUGGCAACGCCCCCGUUGCCUGCUCC